rnacentral:tRNA from 1 species
GGGCUUGUGGUUUAGUGGUAUAAUACUCCCUUAGCAUUUCGUUCAAUGAACGAUUGGUCUGGGAGUGGUCCAGGGUUCGAUUCCCUGCAAGUCCA